AUUGAACGCUGGCGGCAUGCCUUACACAUGCAAGUCGAACGGCAGCACGGGUGCUUGCACCUGGUGGCGAGUGGCGAACGGGUGAGUAAUAUAUCGGAACGUACCUUAUUGUGGGGGAUAACGCAGCGAAAGCUGUGCUAAUACCGCAUAAUCCCUAAGGGGGAAAGCGGGGGAGCGUAAGGCCUCGCGCCAUUAGAGCGGCCGAUACCGGAUUAGCUAGUUGGUGAGGUAAAGGCUCACCAAGGCAACGAUCAGUAGCUGGCCUGAGAGGACGAUCAGCCACACUGGGACUGAGACACGGCCCAGACCCCUACGGGAGGCAGCAGUGGGGAAUUUUGGACAAUGGGGGCAACCCUGAUCCAGCAAUGCCGCGUGAGUGAAGAAGGCCUUCGGGUUGUAAAGCUCUUUUGUCAGGGAAGAAACAGCAGCUCUAACACAGUAUGCGAAUGACGGUACCUGAAGAAUAAGCACCGGCUAACUACGUGCCAGCCGCCGCCGUAA
rnacentral:rRNA from 1 species